AGAUCAUUUGGGGGCAUUUCUAAGUAAUCCCUUGUAAUGCUCCCAUGCUUCGUAAAGUGAUUUACUCGGUUGUUGCUCAAAGUUGGUUAUUGCCUUCUUGAGUUU